ensembl:snRNA U6 U6 spliceosomal RNA
GUGCUCCCUGAGCAACACAUUCUCUAAAACUUGGAAAAAUUCAGAGUGGAUUAGCAUCUCUGAUCAAGGAUGACACACAAAUUUAUAAAGUACUUUAAAAAAAU